AGGUGGUAGAAUUCACCUCCGUGGACUCCUGCACUGUUCCACCUUAUCCUGAGUUGGAAACCUGGAGGUACAGCCAGUAUCUGAGGUCCUGCCUUCUCAUUGGAUGUAAGGGUACCAUGCUGAGCAAUUUUACAUGGAAUCUUCACAAAAUUCCUAGGAGGAAGGGUACCCUUGGUAUUGCCUUGUAGGACCAGCAAAUGUGACUUGUUUACUAUAGGUUCAUCUAGAGCCUCUGAGGCAAGUGGCUUACUCAUGAACCAAUGGCCUGGCUAUGCUGGUGACCUUCAAAUUGUGCACUAUCCACUGGGGACAGAACAGAAGGUCCUGUCCUAGGGCUACCUCUCUUCCUAGAGUGGCCAGAACAAAUGUCAGCUCCAUCGGAGACCUGCACAGAGCCCAUUCAUUUGUCUGUUGGGCCCCCUCAUCCUUUCACCUCCUGUUGUACCUGCAAGAUCUCCCCCACCCUCACCUGUCUAUGAUCAUG